rnacentral:rRNA from 1 species
UACGGAGGGGGCAAGCGUUGUUCGGAAUUACUGGGCGUAAAGGGCGCGUAGGCGGCCUGCUAAGUCGAACGUGAAAUCCCCGGGCUCAACCCGGGAACUGCGUCCGAUACUGGUAGGCUUGAGUUCGGGAGAGGGAUGCGGAAUUCCAGGUGUAGCGGUGAAAUGCGUAGAUAUCUGGAGGAACACCGGUGGCGAAGGCGGCAUCCUGGACCGACAUUGACGCUGAGGCGCGAAAGCCAGGGGAGCAAACGGG